rnacentral:rRNA from 1 species
GAUGAACGCUGGCGGCGUGCUUAACACAUGCAAGUCGAACGAAGCGCUUGGAUGGAAUUCUUCGGAAGGAAGCUCAAGUGACUGAGUGGCGGACGGGUGAGUAACGCGUGGGUAACCUGCCUCAUACAGGGGGAUAACAGUUAGAAAUGACUGCUAAUACCGCAUAAGCACACGUGAUCGCAUGAUCGAGUGUGAAAAACUCCGGUGGUAUGAGAUGGACCCGCGUCUGAUUAGCUAGUUGGUGGGGUAACGGCCCACCAAGGCGACGAUCAGUAGCCGGCCUGAGAGGGUGAACGGCCACAUUGGGACUGAGACACGGCCCAAACUCCUACGGGAGGCAGCAGUGGGGAAUAUUGCACAAUGGGGGAAACCCUGAUGCAGCGACGCCGCGUGAAGGAUGAAGUAUUUCGGUAUGUAAACUUCUAUCAGCAGGGAAGAAAAUGACGGUACCUGACUAAGAAGC